AUUGAACGCUGGCGGCAGGCUUAACACAUGCAAGUCGAGCGGAGAUGAGGUGCUUGCACCUUAUCUUAGCGGCGGACGGGUGAGUAAUGCUUAGGAAUCUGCCUAUUAGUGGGGGACAACAUUCCGAAAGGAAUGCUAAUACCGCAUACGCCCUACGGGGGAAAGCAGGGGAUCUUCGGACCUUGCGCUAAUAGAUGAGCCUAAGUCGGAUUAGCUAGUUGGUGGGGUAAAGGCCUACCAAGGCGACGAUCUGUAGCGGGUCUGAGAGGAUGGUCCGCCACACUGGGACUGAGACACGGCCCAGACUCCUACGGGAGGCAGCAGUGGGGAAUAUUGGACAAUGGGCGGAAGCCUGAUCCAGCCAUGCCGCGUGUGUGAAGAAGGCCUUUUGGUUGUAAAGCACUUUAAGCGAGGAGGAGGCUACCUGGAUUAAUACUCUAGGAUAGUGGACGUUACUCGCAGAAUAAGCACCGGCUAACUCUGUGCCAGCCGCCGCGGUAAAAC
rnacentral:rRNA from 1 species